rnacentral:rRNA from 1 species
GACGAACGCUGGCGGCGUGCUUAACACAUGCAAGUCGAACGAAGUGGCGAACGGGUGAGUAACGCGUAAUCAACCUGCCCUUCAGCGGGGGACAACAGUUGGAAACGACUGCUAAUACCGCAUACUGAAGGUGGGGAUUGCGUCGGAUUAGCUAGUUGGAGGGGGAACGGCCCACGAAGGCGAUGAUCAGUAGCCGGUCGGGGAGGAUGAACGGCCACAUUGGGACUGAGACACGGCCCAGACUCCUACGGGAGGCAGCAGGUGGGAAUCUUCCGCAAUGGACGGAAGUCUGACGGCGCAACGCCGCGGGAGUGAUGACGGCCUUCGGGUUGUAAAGCUCUGUUAAUCGGGACGCGGUACCGGAAUAGAAAGCCACGGCUAACUACGUGCCAGCCGCCGCGGUAAUUC